AUUGAACGCUGGCGGAAUGCUUUACACAUGCAAGUCGAACGGCAGCACGGGGCAACCUGGUGGCGAGUGGCGAACGGGUGAGUAAUACAUCGGAACGUGCCCAAUCGUGGGGAUAACGUAGCGAAAGUUACGCUAAUACCGCAUACGAUCUACGGAUGAAAGCGGGGGAUCGCAAGACCUCGCGCGAAUGGAGCGGCCGAUGUCAGAUUAGGUAGUUGGUGGGGUAAAGGCUCACCAAGCCAACGAUCUGUAGCUGGUCUGAGAGGACGACCAGCCACACUGGAACUGAGACACGGUCCAGACUCCUACGGGAGGCAGCAGUGGGGAAUUUUGGACAAUGGGCGCAAGCCUGAUCCAGCCAUUCCGCGUGCAGGAUGAAGGCCUUCGGGUUGUAAACUGCUUUGUUACGGUAACAAAAGGUACCUGGUUAAUACCUGGGCGUCAUGACGGUACCGUAAGAAUAAGACACCGCGUAACUACGUAGCCAGC
rnacentral:rRNA from 1 species